UUCUUCGGGGCAGGGUGCAAUUCCCGACCGGCGGUAAAGCCCGCGAGCCGUUACGGCUGAUCCGGUGUGAUUCCGGAGCCGACAGUACAGUCUGGAUGGAAGAAGAG
rnacentral:ncRNA from 1 species